UCCUUCACAUACAGAUUGUUUGCCAGAACAGAAUGAGGCUCAUGUAUCAUCAUUCCCAUAGACUGUGUUAUCCCACUUUAUACUUUACAGGGAUUCUUUCAUAGAAGGAAAGGGCAGAAUCCUUGGAAAAUGGCACAAAUCCAGCCAUGGUUCAAGUUUUCAUGCUGUAAUGAUCUGUUGCAACACAUGCCCUGCUGCAUAGAACAGGGAAGUGGAAAUAUGGGCUAUUUCAAGCUGCAGAAGGAUGGAGGGAAAGCAGAUGAGUGGGGAACACAGAGCUUCCCAGCAGCACUGACAAGCCACAGCUGUGCCCUGUUAUAAAAGGGCCAUGUGGGCUGAGGGGCAAAUCACAGCAGAUGGGGAAAUUGGUGAGUAUGGGGAGUCCUGAGCCAGUGCUGCCCUCCUGCACACAAAUAGCAAAGCAGGUGCCUGGAAUGAACCUGUUCUUUUCCUACGUUCUUCCUCUGGCAAACAAAACCAGCUGCUACUCAAAAUAAAGCGUGAUUUCACGUACGUGGUAUGAAGUGUAUGCAAAUAGUCAAGUGAUGCAAAGAAAACUCUCCAGAAUGCUGUGAAAGGACUUUGGCAUGUUAACAGGCACCUCGUGCCUCACCCUCUGCACAAACAGCAGAGUGUGGGUGAUUCAGGCUUGGAACGGAGGAACAGCAUCUGUACAGAUAAGGUACUUGCUGACAUAAUGAGCUGGGUUUGGUUGUAGGGCUGUAUUGUGUGUAUGGUGCCAUGUGUGCUGGCAAACUAAUUAUGGAAGAGAUUGGGUAAUGCACUGGCUUAGAGAAAUAAGGUGGUCUUGGUGUGGCUGUGAACUAAGAAGGAACCCUGUUUAUUACCCCAAUUUUAGAGAGAAGAGGUAGAGAACUCCAUGGCUUGGUUAGCAUUAACCCCACAUGAGAAACAAGGGGGCAGCUCUGGUUGUGUAAUGCAGCCCCCAGUGCUUUCCCUAAGGCACUGAUUAAACAUAAUCCACAAGAGCACUGCAGUCCUGGCCAACCUGAUUUUGUUAACCCUCCUUUAGUAACCCUCUGUUACAAAAGCCAUUAUCCCAGCAAUAUAAUAUAUAGCUGUGGAAUACAGACUUGGGCUGAUUACCUCCUAAUAUUGGCAACUGCUUCCAUGUAAUGGACAGGGUGUUACUGAAACAGAGAACUCCUAAAGUCUAUUUAAUGACAUGAGACAGAGAGGAAAGCAGAUGUAAAUUACUCAGAAACUGUCUUAUAGAUGUAAAGGCUGUAAAACAAACCCACGCUGGUGGAAGAACA